UUGAUCCUGGCUCAGGACGAACGCUGGCGGCGCGCCUAAGCUUAUGCAAGUCGAACGCGAACGGCUCCUUCGGGAGCCUAGUAGAGUGGCAAACGGGUGAGUAACGCGUGGGUAACGUACCCUGAUCCUGGGAAUAACCCUCGGAAACGAGGGCUAAUACCGAAUGUGGCGAACGACCGGUUGGUCGCUCGCUAAAGGUGGCCUCUUCUAUGCUGCCGGGUUGGGAUCGGCCCGCGUCCCAUUAGCUAGUUGGUGAGGUAACGGCUCACCAAGGCCACGAUGGGUAGCCGGCCUGAGAGGGUGUACGGCCACACUGGCACUGAGACAAAGGCCAGUCCCCUAUGGGAGGCGCAGGCGGGAAUAGUUCACAAUGGGCGAAAGCCUGAUGACGCGACGCCGCGUGAGCGAAGAAGACCUUCGGGUUGUAAAGCUCUGUCAGGAGGGAAGAAGGCUCUACGGGUCAAUAGCCCGUGGGAUUGACGGUACCUCCAGAGGAAGCCCCGGCUAAAUACGUGCCAGCAGCCGCGGUAAUACGUAUGGGGCAAGCGUUGUCCGGAUUUACUGGGCGUAAAGGGCGCGUAGGCGGUUUGUUAAGUCGAAGGUGAAAUCCUCGGGCUCAACUCGAGAAUUGCCUUCGAUACUGGCAAACUAGAGUGGCGGAGAGGAAAGCGGAACUCUUGGUGUAACGGUGGAAUGUGUAGAUAUCAAGAGGAACACCGGUGGCGAAGGCGGCUUUCUGGACGCACACUGACGCUCAGGCGCGAAAGCGUGGGUAGCAAACAGGAUUAGAUACCCUGGUAGUCCACGCCAUAAACGAUGGGUACUAGGUGUCGGGGGUAUCGACCCCUCCGGUGCCGCAGUUGACGCACUAAGUACCC
rnacentral:rRNA from 1 species